ensembl:lncRNA
AAUGAAAAAAUAAGCUUAUAAUAAAUAAAAUACAAUAUAUUAUAACAUAUCACAUCAUGGAAAGUAAUGAAACAAAUGAGACAUAUAAUUUAAUGCUCGAAAAAAAUAAAUACAAUAUAAGGAGUAGAAAAAGUGACACAAAUAAUUAUACAAAAAAAAAAGAUCUACAACAAACAUCAAAUGGUUUAAAAAAAAAAUCUUUAAGAGGGCGGCCAUGCAAGAACAAAAAAAAAGAAGAAAAAGAAAAAGAAAAAGAAGAAGAAGAAGAAGAAGAAGAAGAAGAUAAAAAUAAAGCAAGCAUACCUGAACACCGCGGAAGUACAAGUAUAAACACAUACACGAGCAGGGAUAACCACAACCAUAACGGGUAUAACAGUCACAUCAGCUAUAAUAGGUAUAACAUCUAUAAUGAUUAUGAUAAAUAUAACUACUAUAGAAGAUAUGGAAUUCACAAUGAUAUACAAAUAAACAACAAAGAACAUAUAGCAAAGAAGAUAAGCACAAAUUAUAAUAAGAACAAUGUACGGUUUAACGAAUUAGGAGUUAAUAAAACAGGAAUAGCAAAUACGUUUUCGAAACAAAGCUUGACAUAUGAUUGUUAUAAAAAGAAGGAUAUUUUAUUAGGUUUAUGGUGGAAGAAUAUUAUUGAUUUAUAUUCUGAAAUGUUAAUAACAAACUUAUGUAGUAAUAUAAGUAAUAUUGAAAUAGUUAAUAUGAAUAAUAGUUUUUAUAAAAAUUUCCAGUAUCUUAAUGAAGGUAUUCUUAUUUUUCAUAACUCCACAAAAAGAGAUAGCUAUAAGAUGAGUAUGUUGCGGGUAAUAACAAAAGAAAACAUUGUUGAUAGUGACAAAAACAAUGAUAAUUGUGAUAAUUGUAAAAAUUGUGAUAACUGUGAAAAUGGUGAUAACUGUGAAAAUGGUAAAAACGAUUUUUAUAAUUCGUUUGAUGCUGUUGAACAUAAAUUAACAGAUAAUACAUCAAAAUUAUGUUAUAAAAAUAAAUACAAAUAUGUACCUAUUAUUAGAAGAUACAAUUGUAUGAAUAUACCAUAUUAUGCUACUAACUCUGAUUUAUUAUACUGUAAUAAAAACAUGAGUAGUGUUUGUGAUUAUAACAAUGGUAAUAAGAAUAAUCGUAACAAUCAUUUAGAUUAUGACUAUUACAAUAACAAUAAAAAUCACUAUAGUAGUUGUUUUUAUGAUGAAGGUAAUGUUUUAUUAGCAAAUAAAUCUAUAUGUGGUAAUAUUUAUUUAUAUAACAUUAAAAAUACAAUAAACCGAAUUAAUUCUAUGGAAGAAAAUGAAUUACUAGAUGAUAUGCUAACUGAAGAACAAGGACAAGAUUAUGAAUCUAAUUUUUAUAAAAAUAGAAAUCUUACAAAUGAUAUAAAGAACAAAAUUUACUAUAAUAAUAAAAAAGAGUAUAAUAAUACAAACAAUACUAGAACUAGUGUGAAAAAUAAUAAUAAAAAAGUCAAUGAUGAAAAAAGAAAAAUAUAUGAUGGUGAACUAUUAUUAGAACUACUUGGGCAUAAUAAAACUGGAAAAGGUUUAUUUUUUCAGAAUAAUUAUUUAUUGAGUAAUGGUGAUGAUGGUAAACUAUUUGUAUAUGAUAUUAAUAGUCAUAGCAGUGGGAAUAGCAGUGGGCAUGGUAAUAACAUUAGUAAUUAUAAUAAUGGUAGUAUACAUAUGCACACAGCAAAUCAUAAUAAUGUAAAUAAAAUAAAACCUUAUAUAUCAAUAAAAACAAAUGAUGUAUAUUGUAAUGUGAGGUGGUUACAUGAUUCGUUAGUUAUAGGAGCAACUUAUAGUGGCUAUUUUUCGUUGUUUGACAUUAGGAUGAAAAAUGGAUACUCGAGUAAUAGUAGUGGUAUUAGUAAUAAUUACAAAAAAGAUGGUAUGGGUUAUACUGGUAACAGCAAUGUAAAUAUGUACUCUGUUCAUAAAAAAUUAUCGAAAUAUGAAAUUUCUGACAUAGAUAAAUAUAACAAUUACGAUAAUAAUUUGAUUUGCUUAAGUUCAUUAAAUAACAUUUUAAUUUUUGAUUUGCGGUAUAUAAAAAAUAACCUACCUUAUAAAGUUAUACAUGAUAAUUCAUAUCAUAAUAAGAACUAUCAUAGUAUGAUUAGUGGUAUUGGCGGUGUUACUUCUAAUGCUAGUAACACAAGUGGUACUGCUCUUACUACUACUACUACUACUACUACUGCAGCUGCUGCUGCUACUACUACUGCAACUGCUACUGCUACUACUACUAACAGUAGUAAUGAUUAUAGUAUAGAACCAUAUCAAAUCACAUAUGAAGAUAUAGCAAAUAAUUUUAAAAAUAAUAAUAAGUAUUAUGACAUAUGUAAUGACAACGAUAAUGAUGUUUCUAUGUGUAGUAAUACUAUGAAUGCUGAAUAUAUGAGUAGUGAUUGUAUUAAUGGUGAAUAUAUACAUGAUGACAUUAAUAAUAAUAACAUUAAUAGUAGUGGUAUUAGUACAACUAGCAAUAACAAUAAUACUAGUAGUAGUAGUAGUAAUAAUAAUAGUAAUAAUAAUAAUAAUAAUAGUAAUAAUAGUAAUAAUAAUAGUAAUAACGAUUUAAACUACAUGUAUGAUCACUCAUAUCAUGUUUAUUAUCACGAAAAUUAUGUUGAAUCAAAUGCUUUUAUCCAUUCACUGUUCUGGACUAACAUAGAAGCUUUUAAUUAUAUUGGUUCGAUAAAUAAUAAAGGCAUAAUUAACUUAUAUGAUAUGAAUAAUAGUAAAAAUCAAUGUAUUUUUACAUAUGGUCAAAAAUAUAUCAAGUUAUUUAAAUACAAUCCGUAUAAAGUAAAUAAUUUUAUUUCAGUUGAUAAGCAUAAUGUCCUUAUGCUUUUUACUCUACCUGGUCAUGUUUAUAAAACUGAUUUGGAUUUGUACCUAAACGAAGUUAUUAAUUAAGAAUGGGUACGCCAGAAGCCAGGACUGAAUGAGUGAGUAAGUGAGUGAGUGAGUAGGCAACACAUUUGAUGAAUUAAGUUAACAAACAUAACCCAUUUGAUUCGAUUUACAUAUAUACAUAUUAU